CCUACGGGAGGCAGCAGUGGGGAAUAUUGCACAAUGGGGGAAACCCUGAUGCAGCGACGCCGCGUGAGUGAAGAAGUAAUUCGUUACGUAAAGCUCGAUCAGCAGGGAAGAAACACUGACCUUACGGUCAGCAGACGGUACCUGAGUAAGAAGCCCCGGCUAACUACGUGCCAGCAGCCGCGGUAAUACGGAGGGGGCAAGCGUUAUCCGGAUUUACUGGGUGUAAAGGGAGCGUAGACGGUGAGCCAAGUCUGGAGUGAAAGGGCGCAGCUUAACUGCGGAACUGCUGUGGAAACUGGCGAACUAGAGUGCGGGAGGGGUAAGCGGAAUGCCUGGUGUAGCGGUGAAAUGCGUAGAUAUUAGGAGGAACACCGGUGGCGAAGGCGGCUUACUGGACCGUAACUGACGUUGAGGCUCGAAAGCGUGGGGAGCAAACAGGAUUAGAUACCCUGGUAGUC
rnacentral:rRNA from 1 species